rnacentral:rRNA from 1 species
AGAGCGCAGGGAGGAUGCCUUGGCAUCAGGAGCCGAAGAAGGACGUGGUAAGCUGCGAAAAGCUACGGGGAUUGGCAAGCACGAUAUGAUCCGUAGAUGUCCGAAUGGAGCAAUCCACAUGGAGUCAAGUCCAUGUAUCAUAUACUGAAUAAAUAGGUAUAUGAGGGGAACCGCCCGAACUGAAACAUCUAAGUAGGGCGAGGAAAAGAAAUCAACCGAGAUUCUGUGAGUAGUGGCGAGCGAAAGCGGAAGAGGCUAAACCGAGAGGAGCAAUCCUUUCGGGGUUUAGGACUGCAUUUAGUACAACGAUUGUUAACCGAACAGCAUGGGAAGGCUGAUCAAAGAAGGUGAGAAUCCUGUAGGUGAAAACGAAAGUUGACGAGCAGUAUCCAAAGUACCGCGGGGCACGUGAAAUCCCGUGGGAAGAUGGGGGGACCAUCCUCCAAGCCUAAAUACUACCUGAUGACCGAUAGCGAAUAGUACUGUGAAGGAAAGGUGAAAAGCACCCCGGGAGGGGAGUGAAAGAGAACCUGAAACCCUGUGCUUACAAGCACUUAGAGCACGUCAAAGUGUGAUAAGGUACCUAUUGUAGAAUGGUCCGGCGAGUUAUUGUAUGCAGCGAGGUUAAGUAGUUCAGCUACGGAGCCGAAGUGAGAGCGAGUGUUAACAGCACGUUCAGUUGCAUGCAAUAGACCCGAAACCGGGUGACCUAUCCAUGUCCAGGAUGAAGUGAGGGUAAAACCUCAUGGAGGUCCGAACCCACUCCCGUUGAAAUGGUAGGGGAUGAGGUGUGGAUAGCGGAGAAAUUCCAAUCGAACCCGGAUAUAGCUGGUUCUCCCCGAAAUAGUUUUAGGACUAGCCUCGUGAUUAAGAUUAUCGGAGGUAAAGCACUGAAUGGCCUAGGGGUCGAGAGAUUACCGAAGCCUAUCAAACUCUGAAUGCCGAAUAAUCAUGCACGGGAGUCAGACUGUGUGAGAUAAGUUUCAUAGUCGAAAGGGAAACAGCCCAGACCUACAGCUAAGGUCCCAAAGUACGUUUAAGUGGAAAACGAUGUGAAAUUGCGUAGACAACCAGGAUGUUGGCUUAGAAGCAGCCAUACAUUAAAAGAGUGCGUAAUAGCUCACUGGUCGAGUGACUUUGCGCGGAAAAUUUAACGGGGCUAAAACGUACACCGAAGCUUAGGCUUGUCACAAUGUGACAGGGGUAGGGGAGCGUUGAAUGAGGGGUGAAGUCGUAGCGAAAGCGACGGUGGACUUCAUUCAAGUGAGAAUGCCGGAAUGAGUAGCGAGAAUUAUGUGAGAAUCAUAAUGGCCGAAAGCCUAAGGUUUUUGGAGGAAGGUUCGUCCGCUCCAAGUAAGUCGGAAGCUAAGGUGAGGCUGAAAAGCGUAGCCGAUGCACAAACGGUUGAAAUUCCGUUACCACAGAAAGAUUUAAACUAAGGGACACUUUUGAAGAGCUGAUGCCGGGUGUUGGUUACCCCGGUCGUAAGGGAACGAAAUUAAGUAGUGAAGUCAGCGUGGAUGAAGGCGAGAAAAGCUUAGUGUAUAUCUUAUGUGUCCGUACCGCAAACCGACACAGGUAGGUAGGAAGAGAAUUCUAAGGCCAACGGGAGAAGGGUAGUUAAGGAACUCGGCAAAAUGUCCCCGUAACUUCGGAAUAAGGGGAGGUUUCUACGGAAACCCGCAGAGAAUAGUCCCAGGCAACUGUUUAUCAAAAACACAGCUCUAUGCUAAAUCGAAAGAUGACGUAUAUGGGGUGACGCCUGCCCGGUGCCGGAAGGUUAAGAGGAGGAGUGAGAGCCCUGAAUCGAAGCCCCGGUAAACGGCGGCCGUAACUAUAACGGUCCUAAGGUAGCGAAAUUCCUUGUCAGGUAAGUUCUGACCCGCACGAAUGGCGUAAUGAUCUGGGAGCUGUCUCAACUGCCCGCCCGGCGAAAUUGUAGUACCGGUGAAGAUGCCGGUUACCCGCGACUAGACGGAAAGACCCCAUGGAGCUUUACUGUAGCUUAAUAUUGGAUUUCGGCAUUUCAUGUACAGGAUAGGUGGGAGACUAGGAAACAUAGGCGUCAGCUUAUGUGGAGUCGUCCUUGGGAUACCACUCUUGGAGUGCUGAAAUUCUAACCUGCAGCCCUGAAUCGGGUUGGGGGACAUUGUUAGGUGGGCAGUUUGACUGGGGCGGUCGC